rnacentral:rRNA from 1 species
UACGUAGGGGGCAAGCGUUGUCCGGAUUUAUUGGGCGUAAAGCGCACGUAGGCGGCUUUGCAAGUUAGAGGUGAAAGCCUGGGGCUCAACUCCAGAACUGCCUUUAAAACUGCAUCGCUUGAAUCCAGGAGAGGUGAGUGGAAUUCCGAGUGUAGAGGUGAAAUUCGUAGAUAUUCGGAAGAACACCAGUGGCGAAGGCGGCUCACUGGACUGGUAUUGACGCUGAGGUGCGAAAGCGUGGGGAGCAAACAGG